rnacentral:rRNA from 18 species
AGAGUUUGAUCCUGGCUCAGGACGAACGCUGGCGGCGUGCUUAACACAUGCAAGUCGAACGGAAAGGCCCUGCUUUUGUGGGGUGCUCGAGUGGCGAACGGGUGAGUAACACGUGAGUAACCUGCCCUUGACUUUGGGAUAACUUCAGGAAACUGGGGCUAAUACCGGAUAGGAGCUCCUGCUGCAUGGUGGGGGUUGGAAAGUUUCGGCGGUUGGGGAUGGACUCGCGGCUUAUCAGCUUGUUGGUGGGGUAGUGGCUUACCAAGGCUUUGACGGGUAGCCGGCCUGAGAGGGUGACCGGCC